UUCAGUUCGCUAUUUUAAUUUAGUUUCACUUUCUCAAAUGAUGGUUUCAAUUUCAUGCCCUUUUUUACUUAUUUAUUUGUGUUUAAUUUACACAGAGUCUAAAUGUCAAAUGCAAUAUAUUAUUAGUAACAUUUAAAUUGUUUUAUACUUCAUUAUUAUUGACAAUUUUAUUUUCUAUGAAAUGACUUUUAUUGGAUCAAAUAAUACUGAACAACUCAAGUUAUCAAAUAUGUUUGGCAUAAUGUUUCAGAUCAUAUGAAAGAGGAUGUUUUUUUUUGGUACCAGAAUCUAUGUUUUUAUUCUACAACUGAAUGUCAAAAAUCAAAGAGUUCAAUUUUUUUCUUUGCUAAUGCAAUGCAAUAAAAUUGGGAACUAA